rnacentral:rRNA from 1 species
UACAUGGGGUGCAAACGUUGCUCGGAAUUAUUGGGCGUAAAGCGCGCGUAGGCGGUUACUCAAGUCGGAUGUGAAAGCCCUCGGCUUAACUGAGGAAGUGCACCCGAAACUGAGUAGCUAGAGUACCAAAGAGGGUCGCGGAAUUCCCGGUGUAGAGGUGAAAUUCGUAGAUAUCGGGAGGAACACCGGUGGCGAAGGCGGCGACCUGGGUGGAUACUGACGCUGAGGCGCGAAAAGCUAGGGGAGCGAACAG